UUGUAAAAGUUAAGGUAACAGCUUAUGUCGAUUUGAGUCCAAAUAUUUAAAAAGAUAUAUUCACGCAAACAGCGUCUCUAUUCAAAAUUGGAUGUUAAAAUAGAAAACAACUAAUUACAUAUGAAAUAGCUAAUUUUGUACUAAAAAUCUAUACCUACGUCUACGAGCUUUUUCUUAGCCCAUCUACCAUGCUUGCUCAUUUUCUUGUCAACCAUUUGUAAAACACGUUUCUAAUUCUGAUGCUAUACUUCAGUUUGAUUGUAGAAUCUUUAUCUUGAUGUUGAUGAAACCGACACAAUCUCUCUCUCUUACAACAUUCAAUUUGUUAAAAACUCAAUUCAGAUCCACGUUCUUAGUAAAUUGGAUGUUAUUAGAGAGAUUGAUGUCCCCGAUCGGAACUUUCUGGCUGCUCCAGAUGAUGAGCAUGGGCCCAAAGCUUCGUUUGAUCGACGCUUAUACAACGUGAGUGCAGCAGAGCCAUGUCGAUGGCGAGGUGGGUUUCGGCGCUGGCGAGAACGAGAUGCGUGCAGAUGGCUCGAAAUUCGACUGUUACUACUUGAGGGACGUUGGCAACUUGGUGGGAUAAGUAGCCGUUGCGCAUUGUGAUUGUCAGCUUCUCUAACGUGUUACCGAUGAGGAGUCUCUGACCGGCAGGGUUGUCCUUGUCCGCGUCCACAUUGAAUUUUGCUUGUAUGUGAGGCACAUGAUAUUGGCAGCAGAAUAGGGUUUCAGGACAUCUCUGCAGAGGCUACUUUGAUGCUCUCUGGUUGCGAGGCGCGUGUCGUUGAAGAGCUGAUGAUCAGAUUACAGUGGCGUUGUCUGGGUUCGAGUGCUGAGGAAGAUGUGUAAGAAUUUGCUGCUAGUCGUAGCGAUAGCAACUACUCAUUAAGGUUGGUUAUGGGUCCCUUGCGGAUGCCCGAACAGAACUAUAGUGGCCAACCCUAACGUAUUUCAACCGAUUUCGAGCCAUGCAGGUAAGGAGUUGUGGAUGCUGGCAAUUGGUCUGUUGCAACUCUUAAUUCGGUUUAAAAUCCCGCCAAAAGAAGCCUGGGACGGUUAUGUACUGAGCUCUCAAUGAUAGCUAAAGACGAUUGCUGCUCAGUUUGGUUACUUCACACAAUCGAACGAAGAUAGUUCGGCAAUAACAGCUCAGAGAAACCGAUUUGUCUCCUGGCUGGAGACAGGCUACUUCCCCGAACUCCAAAUGAUCAUAUAAUUCCAGCUUCCUGGGGUAUUAUAUGAUACAAGGUGUUUGUCAUGUCUCGACUCCAAGAAGGAGAAGAAGAAAGAGAAUAACAGCGAAGGUUGAUAAUUACUGACAACUGCUCAAAGAUUUGGACGCUGGAACAAAUGUUCUGCUUGUGUGAACAAAAGAUGUGAAGAUUCCAGGCCCUUGUCUCCGCGACAGGAUUCAAUACAGCGCCUGGAUUCAUCUAGAAACUUCACUCGCACAGAGUUCUCUGGCCGGAAUCCUUUCAUUAGGCCCUCUUGAAGUACAUAAACAUCAAGAUUCAAGACUGAUACUCAUGCUAACAAUCCAACUCCAAAAAUCCACACGCAUACACCCAAGAACAUGCUGACUUGAAGCUUAUGAUGCACAAGCUCCUGAUCAAGCUCGAUAAGUUAUCGGAUAAGGAAGCCUAUGGAUAACUUUAGCCAAACCUUGCGAGCAGAUCAGUUUCACAGGAUCCAGAGAAGUGUCGAUUUCACGUGUGAUGUGCAAGCUACGCAGUCUCGCUACCCUAACCCUACUGCCCAGUGAUUGCAGUCGCACUCGCGCUAGGUGGUAGCUCCUGCUUACCAAGGAUAUGCUCUUCGCCAUCGCUGGAUAAGCCUCAUAUCGCACAGCUACAAACAUCAAGCAAAGUAUAGCACAACUACUGAAGUAAUGCCCGUAACCUGAGAGCCUCCUUGCAUGCUAUAGAAUACGCAAAGUAUUCUGCCUCUGUAGAUGAAGUCGCCGUGAGAGUUUGCCUAAUUGAUUUCCAAGAAAACUAGUCCUCCCGCAAGGUUAAGAGAUACCGAUUAGUCAAUUUCUUAUCCUGAUGAUCCUGUUGGAAAUGAACAAAGCACCUUUCUUCUCUCUGUGUUAUAUUCAUCAGGAGGUAUGAAUGGACAGAGUUCGUCUAUAUAGCGAGGACAAACUUCAGUAAACGAAAGUCUAACUGCACUGAAAAACCAUUAGAGCCACUACGAGGCAGUACAUUGAAUCGCAAUUGCGUAUAAGCGAGAACUUGUAUCUUCUCGAAAUAAAGCUUAUUGUUUACAUGGUGUCAGAGCGAAUCUUGAGUCCUGACGGGAGGCCAGGUUCUGCGAGCU